ACCGGGCGUCGUGGCGGGCGUCUGUGAGCCAGCUUCUUGGCGGUAGACUUGUGUGGAUGAAGUGAGAGGAGAGUCCUGUGCGUGUCGGCGUCAACGUCGACCGAGCGUCCGUGCCAAGCGCUGCGUCGCCAGGGGCAGCCUGUCGGAAGAC
rnacentral:SRP_RNA from 1 species